rnacentral:rRNA from 1 species
AUUGAACGCUGGCGGCAGGCCUAACACAUGCAAGUCGAGCGGAUGAAGGGAGCUUGCUCCUGGCUUCAGCGGCGGACGGGUGAGUAAUGCCUAGGAAUCUGCCUGGUCGUGGGGGAUAACGUCCGGACACGGGCGCUAAUACCGCAUACGUCCUGAGGGUGAAAGUGGGGGUUCUUCGGACCUCACGCUAUCUGAUGAGCCUAGGUCGGAUUAGCUAGCUGGUGGGGUAAAGGCCUACCAAGGCGACGAUCCGUAACUGGUCUGAGAGGAUGAUCAGUCACACUGGAACUGAGACACGGUCCAGACUCCUACGGGAGGCAGCAGUGGGGAAUAUUGGACAAUGGGCGAAAGCCUGAUCCAGCCAUGCCGCGUGUGUGAAGAAGGUCUUCGGAUUGUAAAGCACUUUAAGUUGGGAGGAAGGGCAGUAAGUUAAUACCUUGCUGUUUUGACGUUACCAACAGAAUAAGCACCGGCUAACUUCGUG